rnacentral:rRNA from 1 species
AGCUCCAGUAGCGUAUAUUAAAGUUGUUGCAGUUAAAAAGCUCGUAGUUGGAUUUCUGGUGUGGGAUGCCUGGCCCGCCGCGAUACGCGUGUGAGUGCUGGCGCGUCCCCGCCAUCCUUUCAGAGACCGUUUCUGCCCUUUAUUGGGUUGGAGACGUGGAUCUGGAUCUUUUACUUUGAAAAAAUUAGAGUGUUCAAGGCAGGCUCGCGCUGUGAAUACAUUAGCAUGGAAUAAUAACAUAGGACUCUGGUUCUAUUUUGUUGGUUUCUAGGACUGAAGUAAUGAUUGAUAGGGAUAGUUGGGGGUGCUCGUAUUUAGCGGCCAGAGGUGAAAUUCUUGGAUUCGCUAAAGACGGACUUAUGCGAAAGCAUUCACCAAGGAUGUCUUCUUUAAUCAAGAA